GAGUGGUGCGGUUGCGUGUACUGAACCUGAACGCAUUGUGCUUGUGGAGCUUUCAGAGCCAGCGUUUCACUGCACGAGGACACGAACACAAACAAACACCAUUUGUGGCGAUCCGUCAAAAUAAAAGUCCGGUUAACUUGAACAAACGCUCUUUGCGGCGUCCCGUCAAAAUAAAAGUACGGUUGACUUGAUCAAGUUAUCACAUUCACAAGAAAAAAAGAAAAUGUACCAGUAAGUUACUGGUUUAUUAACAUUAUUGUACAUUAUACAGGCUUCGGUUAUAGGUAUCGGUAUCGGCGAGUACCAGAAAAAAAAUAUCGGUACUUGUACUCGGUCUUUAAAAAAAUGGUAUCGGUGCAUCCCUAGAUAUUACUGCAAAAUUGUUACAAACUGCACCUUUAAGGCCAGAUAUUCAUUUUAUACCUCCAUUUUCUUCAUGUGUUUACCAAUUACACUGUUUUAUUUCUCCUGAUCAAUGUUAGAAGAAACAUUUGAGACUAAGUUGACAACAAAUCCUCAAAAUCGCCAUCAAACCAUCAAAUCUCCUGUUUGGUUUUCCUCGGGUCAGUGGCGAGUUCAAAAAAGCUCACGUCUCUGUGAUAUUCUCUAAAUAUGACUCCGGUAUGUCUGUGAGAUUUCUUCCAUUUGUAUUUAAAAGCAGAUUUGAGACCGUUUAAGUGUCAUUGAUGUACAUGAGGUUUAACACAAUGAGCUACAGUAAUCGUGAUGAUUUCAUUGAAACGUGCCCACCCAAUAACAGCAAGACAUUUGUGUUAAAGUACUUACUUGAGGAUAUUAAAAUGAAAGGGCCUGUGUUUUAGUUUGAGUUUCUCUCUCUGCUGUUUCAUUCACUGUGAUUAUUUAAGAGAACUUGUAUUAUGCACAAUUAUCUGGACUUUAUUUCUUCUCGAAGUGAGUGGAGAGUCCCACAUGAACAAAAGAUGGUCAUGUUUGAGUCUGUAUCGUCGCUGAAGGACUCUCUCUCGUUCAGUAUUCAUGUGAACCGGCGCGGCAUUGAGCUCGAGAGCUCACCGGAGCAAUUACCCCAGAUGGAGAAAAAGAGAUUGUGAUCGAACGCAAGACUGUAAAUUCACUCCAGAUAUCUCUGCCUCCAGUCUAUACUCGCUUACUCCAUUUUCCUUUCUGUCUCUUAAUUUCACACACAGACGAUGUGCACAUUUAUCUACACGGCACACAAACUCAAUUCUUGUAGGAGUCACACAACAGUUUUGCUUUAGCACCCAGAUUUUAUGUUGUACAAUAUGAAACUAAUAUAGCCUGUGUUGACUUUUUCUUUGUCUUCACUGUGAACCCGAAUACGAUGGGAAAACUCAAAAAAAUCGAGAGAGUGAUGAUGUAACACACACGAUUGCUAAGGCUCCUCCCACAACAUAAACAGAAGCAGCGCUCUUCUGAACGAUGUUUCAGAGUGGAAGACCUGUUUCAUUAUGUCAUCUGCAAUGCAUUAUGGGAGUAGAAGGUCAUUGCUGCGCUCUUGUGUGCAUCUCUCGUUUCCACGGUAACAGCUGCUUCUCUGAUGGGGGAUUUGUCUUUACGAUUGAGGGAUGUCUGGAUGUGUUUAUGGUGGGUGUGUCACGGGUGGGUCCUUUUCACGCGGGUCAAAGGCAGACGUAUUCAGGGGUCUUCAGUCCUCCGACAGACGGGUUCUCAGGAGUUUUGGAUCUGGAUGGAUCUGACAGAUGUUGUGCUCUUCUGGGACUGUCGGGGUCUUUCCUCUGUUUUAAUGCAGUCAACUCACUCUCAAAUGUUCACAAACUGGCUUUGACCGUUUCAGUAUUCCAGAUGACUUGUCUAAACGUCAUGACCCUGAGCAUCACAGUACUGAGACGUCUUAAAG